rnacentral:rRNA from 1 species
AGGUAAGCUACUAAGAGCGAAUGGUGGAUGCCUUGACUGGUAAAGGCGAUGAAGGACGUACUAGACUGCGAUAAGCUACGGGGAGCUGUCAAGAAGCUUUGAUCCGUAGAUUUCCGAAUGGGGCAACCCAAUGUAUAGAGAUAUACAUUACCUAUAUAGGAGCGAACGAGGGGAAUUGAAACAUCUUAGUACCCUCAGGAAAAGAAAUCAAUAGAGAUUGCGUCAGUAGCGGCGAGCGAAAGCGCAAGAGGGCAAACCCAGUGCUUGCACUGGGGGUUGUAGGACUGCAAUGUGCAAGAGGUGAGUUUAGCAGAACAUUCUGGAAAGUAUAGCCAUAGAGGGUGAUAGUCCCGUAUGCGAAAAACAAACCUUAGCUAGCAGUAUCCUGAGUAGGGCGGGACACGAGAAAUCCUGUCUGAAGCUGGGUCGACCACGAUCCAACCCUAAAUACUAAUACCAGAUCGAUAGUGCACAAGUACCGUGAGGGAAAGGUGAAAAGAACUGAGGUGAUCAGAGUGAAAUAGAACCUGAAACCAUUUGCUUACAAUCAUUCAGAGCCCUAUGUAGCAAUACAGGGUGAUGGACUGCCUUUUGCAUAAUGAGCCUGCGAGUUGUGGUGUCUGGCAAGGUUAAGCAAACGCGAAGCCGUAGCGAAAGCGAGUCUGAAUAGGGCGCUUAGUCAGAUGCUGCAGACCCGAAACGAAGUGAUCUAUCCAUGAGCAAGUUGAAGCUAGUGUAAGAACUAGUGGAGGACUGAACCCAUAGGCGUUGAAAAGCCCCGGGAUGACUUGUGGAUAGGGGUGAAAGGCCAAUCAAACUUCGUGAUAGCUGGUUCUCUCCGAAAUAUAUUUAGGUAUAGCGUUGUGUCGUAAUAUAAGGGGGUAGAGCACUGAAUGGGCUAGGGCAUACACCAAUGUACCAAACCCUAUCAAACUCCGAAUACCUUAUAUGUAAUCACAGCAGUCAGGCGGCGAGUGAUAAAAUCCGUCGUCAAGAGGGAAACAACCCAGACUACCAGCUAAGGUCCCUAAAUCUUACUUAAGUGGAAAACGAUGUGAAGUUACUUAAACAACCAGGAGGUUGGCUUAGAAGCAGCCAUCCUUUAAAGAAAGCGUAAUAGCUCACUGGUCUAGUGAUUUUGCGCGGAAAAUAUAACGGGGCUAAAGUAAGUACCGAAGCUGUAGACUUGCGCACAACUUAGAUUAUUUAAGUUUAGAAUAUGAGAAACUAAGUUAUAUGUUUAGUUAUAUUUUUACUGAUUUUUAUAGAGUAAAGAUAGAAAUAAAACUUAGUAAAAUCAGUAAAAAUAUUCUUAGACUAAAGUUAAGUAGUUUAAGUUGUGUGCAAGUGGUAGGAGAGCGUUCUAUUUGCGUCGAAGGUAUACCGGUAAGGAGUGCUGGAGCGAAUAGAAGUGAGCAUGCAGGCAUGAGUAGCGAUAAUUAAUGUGAGAAUCAUUAACGCCGUAAACCCAAGGUUUCCUACGCGAUGCUCGUCAUCGUAGGGUUAGUCGGGUCCUAAGUCGAGUCCGAAAGGGGUAGACGAUGGCAAAUUGGUUAAUAUUCCAAUACCAACAUUAGUGUGCGAUGGAAGGACGCUUAGGGCUAAGGGGGCUAGCGGAUGGAAGUGCUAGUCUAAGGUCGUAGGAGGUUAUACAGGCAAAUCCGUAUAACAAUACUCCGAGAACUGAAAGGCUUUUUGAAGUCUUCGGAUGGAUAGAAGAACCCCUGAUGCCGUCGAGCCAAGAAAAGUUUCUAAGUUUAGCUAAUGUUGCCCGUACCGUAAACCGACACAGGUGGGUGGGAUGAGUAUUCUAAGGCGCGUGGAAGAACUCUCUUUAAGGAACUCUGCAAAAUAGCACCGUAUCUUCGGUAUAAGGUGUGGUUCGCUUCGUAUUAGGAUUUACUCCGAAAGCGAAGAAACUUACAACAAAGAGUCCCUCCCGACUGUUUACCAAAAACACAGCACUCUGCUAACUCGUAAGAGGAUGUAUAGGGUGUGACGCCUGCCCGGUGCUCGAAGGUUAAUUGAUGGGGUUAGCAUUAGCGAAGCUCUUGAUCGAAGCCCGAGUAAACGGCGGCCGUAACUAUAACGGUCCUAAGGUAGCGAAAUUCCUUGUCGGUUAAAUACCGACCUGCAUGAAUGGCGUAACGAGAUGGGAGCUGUCUCAAAGAGGGAUCCAGUGAAAUUGUAGUGGAGGUGAAAAUUCCUCCUACCCGCGGCAAGACGGAAAGACCCCGUGGACCUUUACUACAGCUUGACACUGCUAUUUGGAUAAGAAUGUGCAGGAUAGGUGGGAGGCUUUGAGUAUAUGACGCCAGUUGUAUAUGAGCCAUUGUUGAGAUACCACUCUUUCUUAUUUGGGUAGCUAACCAGCUUGAGUUAUCCUCAAGUGGGACAAUGUCUGGUGGGUAGUUUGACUGGGGCGGUCGCCUCCCAAAUAAUAACGGAGGCUUACAAAGGUUGGCUCAGAACGGUUGGAAAUCGUUCGUAGAGUAUAAAGGUAUAAGCCAGCUUAACUGCAAGACAUACAAGUCAAGCAGAGACGAAAGUCGGUCUUAGUGAUCCGGUGGUUCUGUGUGGAAGGGCCAUCGCUCAAAGGAUAAAAGGUACCCCGGGGAUAACAGGCUGAUCUCCCCCAAGAGCUCACAUCGACGGGGAGGUUUGGCACCUCGAUGUCGGCUCAUCGCAUCCUGGGGCU